UACGUAGGCAGCAAGCGUUGUUCGGAAUUACUGGGCGUAAAGGGUGCGUAGGCGGUCGCGCAAGUCGGAUGUGAAAUCUCAGGGCUCAACCCUGAAACUGCAUUCGAUACUGCGUGGCUAGAGUGCUGGAGAGGAGACUGGAAUUUACGGUGUAGCAGUGAAAUGCGUAGAUAUCGUAAGGAAGAACCAGUGGCGAAGGCGAGUCUCUGGACAGCAACUGACGCUGAGGCACGAAGGCCAGGGGAGCAAACGGG
rnacentral:rRNA from 1 species